AUUUCUCUGAGAUGUUCGCAAGCGGGCCAGUCCCUGAGCCGAUAUUUCAUACCACAAGAAUGUGGCGCUCCAUGGUCGGUGAGCAUGCUCGGUUCGUCCGAGAAGCCUUAAGACUAUGACGACAUAUUCACCUUGAACCAAGGGUUCAAGGGUUACAGCCUGCGGCGGCAUCUCGGAGAUUCC
rnacentral:other from 1 species